rnacentral:lncRNA from 1 species
UUAUAUGUUUGAAUUAACAUAUUGUUUGAGUAGGUGGAACUUUAGGCUGAGUUAUGUGGGACUACCGAAGCAGCUUAAAGAUAUCCAACUGCUAUUAGAUCAACGUCCGGAAGCUAAGGUCAGUUAUUAAAAUUUUCAAACAUAUAAUAAUUACAUAAUGAUUUAGAAUUUAAUAUUUUGUAGAUAAAAAAAAUCUAUAAUUGUGUAUUACAGUUUGAAUGGAUGUCAUAUAUCGAUCCGACAAUCGUAAAAUGCAUCCUGGCUAAAAAUUUGGCCAAUCAAAGUAUGUGGGACACGAGGGUACCAUUGGUAGUUUACGCGAUAGUGGAGAUACGCAAAUCAAAUUGAGUAUGUGACAGUCUGAAUGGAGGCAAAAUAUUUCGCCGCCACUGUAAGAUAUUGAAGCACUGCACAAGCUUGAUUUGCGAGAGAAAACUGACGAAAAUUGGCGGGAAUUCCAUAAGGAAUAUAUCGAUGUAAUACACAAUUUUUGGCCCGGGCCCAAAACCAUAAAUGAAGCCCAUUACAAGCCCUAACCCACUAGCCCAAAACCCCAAAAAACAAAUAGCAGAAACCCUAGGCGGUUGGCAACAAACUAGCGCCGCAGCAGCCCCGCACGUUGCAGCAACAUCGCCCACGUUUAGCAGUUUCCUCGCACACCACUCACAUUCCACCUGCAACAAAACCACAGACAACGACAAAUAAUAAGGGAAAGAGGCUAGAAUAGCGAGAGGGGGGGAUUUCUGUACUAAAAAAAAGGAAAUAAAUCUUGCAUUGAAAAACAUUAUUGAAAACAAAAAACAAAAAGAAAAGAAUCAAAAAACAAAAAACAAUUUUGAAGGUAAUUAUUUGGUUCUGUUUUUCUUUUCCUUUUACUGUUUUAUUCUUUUUAUUUUCUUUCUUGUUUUAAAAUGAAUAAACGAAGCAAAGAAGAAGGAGAAAGGCUCUUACCGGUGGUAGUGCGCCGUCGAGGUGCCGUCGUCGUUGUGGCCGAUUGGAAAUGGAUUUGGAAUGGCAGAGAAAGGGAGGCUGCGGCGCAAACACAAAAAUGGCACAGGAGGGGAAUGAUUUUAGGGUUUUAAAUGGGAUUUUAUAGGGUUAAAAAUGGGUCAUUUCCGUGAUUGGUCCUCUUCUUUUUUGGGGGUGUUUAAAUCAAUUUUUUUAUUUUUUAAAAAUUGGGCCGCAUAUUUUAAUACUGGUUUAAUUCAAUCCAUGUUGCUGCGCAAUGCUUGGGCGAUUUGGAUAAUUUACUCUUUUGAUCCUCCUCUUGUUGGGUGCAUUUUUAAUUUGGUCUUCUUUUUGUAUUUUCUAUUUUUGAAUUUGGCUUUAAAAUUUCAUUUGUUUUCAAUUUGGU